rnacentral:lncRNA from 1 species
CUUAUAUGUAUGUGCGACGAGGUGGAAAAUUUGAUAUGUUUUGUGAAAAUUGCAGCGUUGGAUAUAAUAUAAAAAAGAAGAUGUGAUAUGAUUGCCAAUGGGACAACUGUCCACAAGAGACCAAAAUGACACAGAAAUUAACAUUUAUAGUUCACCGUACGGCCUUCAACAAUAAGCAAAGCCAAUAUCGCAUAGUCAGCCAUAAAAGAUGUCUCAUUUGGCACUCAUACCUCAUCUUCUUAUUUUAUAUACAAAGCACGUUUUUGAAUUAAAAUAAUAGGUAAUAUGGCACCAAAUGUGAUCCAGAGGCUUUAAAUAUUGGAGAUAUUUCACAUACGUUAACAUGACAGCAGCCGAAC